rnacentral:rRNA from 1 species
UACGAAGGGGGCUAGCGUUGUUCGGAAUUACUGGGCGUAAAGCGCACGUAGGCGGAUAUUUAAGUCAGGGGUGAAAUCCCGGGGCUCAACCCCGGAACUGCCUUUGAUACUGGAUAUCUUGAGUUCGGAAGAGGGUCGUGGAAUUCCCAGUGUAGAGGUGAAAUUCGUAGAUAUUGGGAAGAACACCGGUGGCGAAGGCGGCGACCUGGUCCGAUACUGACGCUGAGGCGCGAAAGCGUGGGGAGCAAACAGG